GAAAAAAAAUCAGGAAGAAUUCAGUUAAAGUUCAGUAAAAAUUUUAGUAAAAUAUAUAGGUUCGUUUCGUGUGUAUUUUAGUCCAGACGCCAUCUAAUUACAUGUACAUAUCGAUUUGACCUCAGAUGACCAUAUAAGCGAUGUAAACAUAAAAAAAGAUAUGAAUAGAUUAAACCAACACGUGCAAUUGGAUUUUUAUAGAUCUGUUUGAUUUUAUUUUAAAGAUUAAAAAUAGAUAUUUCUCAUUGUCUUUAACCGUAUAAGAAUGAUUUUAUGUGC
rnacentral:lncRNA from 1 species